AAUAAUGUGUGAUGAAAAACAUGGAUUUGCAUAUUCUUGUGCCCUAUAGGUAAUGAGGAUUUUUUUCCAUGCCUGCCUUCCUUCUGACAUUAUU
rfam:Biomphalaria glabrata isolate BB02 linkage group LG2 unlocalized genomic scaffold LG2_random_Scaffold1218, whole genome shotgun sequence.